CAGGCAGCGGCCAUGUAGCUACUGCACGUGGUUACGCUGAUGCACCGCCCGUCUGCCCUCCUCUGAGCCAAUUGGUCGAUGAUGCUUUUACCUUCGGCUUGGCUGUAGUAGUGCGGCAGCUUCUGUUGAACAGCAUGCGUGUGUUGACCCGCGAGCCAGCGUGGGCCUCCGUCUAGAAAGACCAUCCACUUCUUCGUUCUGGCUGGGGUAAGAACUGUGGAUUGCGAGUGUACCGGCACAGCUUAAAAUCCUUAAGAUCCUUUACGUUUUCUUCAUUCGAAAUGCUGCAGCCAUCUUGUGCACUGUAUGUAUAACAUUCAGCUGUUCUGGCCAUAUUGUAGGACGUGUCUGAAUUUACUGUUGUUAAAUAUCAUAAUUUUAUCAUUCUCCCCAGACAGCUGUAAGGGGGUUGGAGAUCAGCUUGUUAGCAUCGUCGUCAGCUGACACUGCCCUCAAUAUCCUUGUGUCGUCCGCAAAGGAGAUCUCUGAUGAGUGUAAUACAUAUUUAUUUAUAUCUGAUAUGUGGUAUUAAAACGAGCAGAGGGCCAAGAACUGGCUCCUGCCUCCCACCCUCUACAUCAAUUGGAGCAGCCAUCUACAUUCUGUUACAGUCCAUUGCCACUGCCUGGAGGUUGUCAACCACUGCCUCUAUACUUACGCAGAACCUCAAGUUUGCCCACAAUACCUUCAGUUGGUCCCUUCCCGCAUCAGCAUUGUGGGGAACACCGUGACCGACAGAGAGGUAAACGAGGCGCACUCCCACCCUUCUCCCAUAGACCUUGCCACAUACCAGACUGACCUACUAACGUAAAGACUAGGUAAAGACUGUAGCUUACACUAGGAAAGACCCAUCAGACAGCAUCAUGACUCCACUGGUGGACCCCACUUCCCUAGCCAUAUCCUGGAUACUGCAAUCAUCAGACUGAGGAUAGGACACAGCAGCCUCAAUGCCCACAUGCACUGGCUGGAGUUAAACAGGUACCCUUCACUGCUCUGGUGCCCUAUACAGCCAGACAUUCCAGAACAUCUGCUGCUACACUGUCCUCACCACCACACCCACCACAAUUCUCUCCACUCAAUGGCAUCACUCCACAUCCGCUAACAGACCUUGGUAGUUCCCAAGGUCCUGGCUUGGCUUUCAGGACACUCAAGCACACCAGGGUCUUCCUCCAGAAGACUGGGCAGCUCACCAGAAUCUAACCAGAUAACUUAGCUCCUGCCAGCACCUUUGGGGCACGAGAGGCUGUGGAACCACAGUCUGCACAGCUCCAUCAAAUCCCCAAGAGCAACAAAUAAAAUAGAUAAAAAUCUAUGAACCUAUCUUUGUCUCUGUAAACAACAUUAUUCACAUAACUGAUAUUUCCAUCAUAAAAAAUUCAAACAAUCUGCAUCAGUGGUAUCAUAAUGCAGCAUCAUCAUCAUCUAGUGGUGACAUUCAGCUUGCAGGUUGAAAAGAAUGACAUCAUAAAUACAAUAAAUGUCUUGUGUUGGUGGUGAAUACUCACCCAUACAGGACACUACAAUAUUCCAGACACACCCAUUAGUGACUCAACCAAAGGAGCUACAGACUGCCUCCUUGAAUUAAACCGUGAACAGGAACUUUAAAGCACGGCACCUUAGAUGUGAGGACUGAACAAUCACUAGUAACUUUUGGUUACUACACUACCACACAGAUCACCCAAGAGGCAGCAGCACUACAGCUACUCAAGGAGAACACAAUGCAACAAGUGCAGUAAGAAAAUUUUAUUUAGUGACCCAGUAACACUUGCUCUGCCCGAAGCUAACUGCGUGGGGGGCACGGAGGGAGUGGCCGGCCCUAGGAGCAGAGGCCGCCCGCCGCCGCCACACCCCCCACCAACUGAGACUGUGAGGGGUUCCAACUAGGAGCUGUGAUAGCAUGUGUUACAAAUAUUGUACAGAUGUGGUAUAGGCUACACUUGUGGAACAGCUGUGGUGCAAAUGUGGUACAAACGUGCAUUAGUAUUAGCGGGGAAAUAAAGUGUACAGGGGUAACAACUCAGAUAAUAAAACUACAUAUGUAAAAUCUAAGUGCCUGGUAAUUUAUGAACAUGAUAAAAAGAAGAAAAAAAACUCUUUGGUAAGGAAUGAAAAGGGUAUAACUUA